AUUGAACGUUGGCGGCACGCCUAAUACAUGCAAGUCGAACGAGAAAGCACUUCGGUGUGAGUACAGUGGCGGACGGGUGAGUAACGCGUAGGAAUCUACCUAGUAGUGGGGGACAACUCGGGGAAACUCGAGCUAAUACCGCAUACGCUCUACGGAGGAAAGUGGGGGAUCUUCGGACCUCACGCUAUUAGAGGAGCCUGCGUUGGAUUAGCUUGUUGGUGGGGUAACGGCCUACCAAGGCGACGAUCCAUAGCUGGUCUGAGAGGACGAUCAGUCACACUGGAACUGAGACACGGUCCAGACUCCUACGGGAGGCAGCAGUAGGGAAUAUUGGGCAAUGGGCGAAAGCCUGACCCAGCGAUGCCGCGUGUGUGAAGAAGGCCUUAGGGUUGUAAAGCACUUUCAGCAGUGAAGAAAUGCCAGAGGUUAAUAACCUCAGGUUUUGACGUUAACUGCAGAAGAAGGUCCGGCUAACUCCGUGCCAGCAGCCGCGGUAAUACGGAGGGAUCGAACGUUAAUCGGAAUUACUGGGCGUAAAGCGCGCGUAGGCGGUCUGUUAAGUGGGAUGUGAAAGCCCCGGGCUCAACCUGGGAACUGCAUUCCAAACUGCCAGACUAGAGUGUGGUAGAGGGAGGUAGAAUUUCCUGUGUAGCGGUGAAAUGCGUAGAUAUAGGAAGGAAUACCGGUGGCGAAGGCGGCCUCCUGGAC
rnacentral:rRNA from 1 species